UUUUUGAGUUGCUCUGUGUAGUGUGUAAUGACAUAUUUUGUUUUUUUGAGUUGCUCUGUGUAGUGUGUAAUGACAUAUUUUAUGGGUUUUUUUUAGUUUCUCUGUGUAGUGUGUAAUGACAUAUUUUAUGUUUUAUUGUGUUGCUUUGUGUAGUGUGUAAUGACAUAUUUUAUGUUUUUUUGAGCUGCUCUGUGUAGUGUGUAAUGACAUAAUUUGUUUUUUUGAGCUGCUCUGUGUAGUGUGUAAUGACAUAGUUUAUAUUUUUUUGAGUUGCUCUGUGUAGUGUGUAAUGACAUAUUUUAUGUUUUUUGAGUUGCUCUGUGUAGUGUGUAAUGACAUAUUUUAUGUUUUUUUAGUUGCUCUGUGUAGUGUGUAAUGACAUAUUUUAUGUUUUUUUAGUUGCUCUGUGUAGUGUGUAAUGACAUAUUUAUGUUUUUUUUAGUUGCUCUGUGUAGUGUGUAAUGACAUAUUUUAUGUUUUUUUUGAGUUGCUCUGUGUAGUGUGUAAUGACAUAUUUUAUGUUUUUUUGUAUUGCUUUGUGUAGUGUGUAAUGACAUAUUUUAUGUUUUUUUGUGUUGCUUUGUGUAAUGUGUAAUGACAUAUUUUAUGUUUUUUUAGCUGCUCUGUGUAGUGUGUAAUGACACAUUUUAUGUUUUUUCAGUUGCUCUGUGUAGUGUGUAAUGACAUAUUUUGUUUUUUUGAGUUGCUCUGUGUAGUGUGUAAUGACAUAUUUUAUGUUUUUUUUAGCUGCUCUGUGUAGUGUGUAAUUACAUAUUUUAUGUUUUUUUGUGUUGCUCUGUGUAGUGUGUAAUGACAUCUUUUAUGUUUUUUUGAGCUGCUCUGUGUAGCGUGUAAUGACAUAUUUUAUGGUUUUUUGAGCUGCUCUGUGUAGUGCGUAAUGACAUAUUUUAUGUUUUUUUAGCUGCUCUGUGUAGUGUGUAAUGACAUAAUUUAUGUUUUUUUGAGCUGCUCUGUGUAGUGUGUAAUGACAUAUUUUAAGUUUUUUUUAGUUGCUCUGUGUAGUGUGUAAUGACAUAUUUUAUGGGUUUUUUUCAGCUGCUCUGUGUAGUGUGUAAUGACAUAUUUUAUGUUUUUUUUAGUUGCUCUGUGUAGUGUGUAAUGACAUAUUUUAUGUUUUUUUUAGUUGCUCUGUGUAGUGUGUAAUGACAUAUUUUAUGUUUUUUUCAGUUGCUCUGUGUAGUGUGUGUAUUGACAUAUUUUAUGUUUUUUUUAGCUGCUCUGUGUAGUGUGUAAUGACAUAUUUUAUGUUUUUUUUUAAGUUGCUCUGUGUAGUGUGUAAUGACAUAUUUUAUGUUUUUUUGAGUUGCUCUGUGUAGUGUGUAAUGACAUAUUUUAUGUUUUUUUAGUUGCUCUGUGUAGUGUGUAAUGACAUAUUUUAUGUUUUUUAGUUGCUCUGUGUAGUGUGUAAUGACCUAUUUUAUGUUUUUUUUAGUUGCUCUGUGUAGUGUGUAAUGUAAUGACAUAUUUUAUGUUUUUUUUAGUUGCUCUGUGUAGUGUGUAAUGACAUAUUUUAUGUUUUUUUGAGUUGCUCUGUGUAGUGUGUAAUGACAUAUUUUAUGUUUUUUGAGUUGCUCUGUGUAGUGUGUAAUGACAUUUUAUGUUUUUUUGAGUUGCUCUGUGUAGUGUGUAAUGACAUAUUUUAUGUUUUUUUUAGUUGCUUUGUGUAGUGUGUAAUGACAUUUUAUGUUUUUUUGAGUUGCUCUGUGUAGUGUGUAAUGACAUAUUUUAUGUUUUUUUUAGCUGCUCUGUGUAGUGUGUAAUGACAUAUUUUAUGUUUUUUUAGCUGCUCUGUGUAGUGUGUAAUGACAUAUUUUA
rnacentral:lncRNA from 1 species